rnacentral:rRNA from 1 species
UGUCGUUAGAUGUUGGGUUAAGUCCCGCAACGAGCGCAACCCUCGUUCCAUGUUGCCAGCACUUAGGGUGGGGACUCAUGGCAUACUGCCGGGGUCAACUCGGAGGAAGGUGGGGACGACGUCAAAUCAUCAUGCCCCUUAUGUCUUGGGCGUCACGCAUGCUACAAUGGCCGGUACAAAGGGUUGCGAUACUGUGAGGUGGAGCUAAUCCCAAAAAGCCGGUCUCAGUUCGGAUUGGGGUCUGCAACUCGACCCCAUGAAGUCGGAGUCGCUAGUAAU